UACGUAGGCAGCGAGCGUUGUUCGGAGUUACUGGGCGUAAAGGGUGCGUAGGCGGCUCUGUAAGUAUGGUGUGAAAUCUCCCGGCUUAACUGGGAGGGUGCGCUAUAGACUGCGGGGCUCGAGUGUGGGAGAGGAAAGUGGAAUUCCUGGUGUAGCGGUGAAAUGCGUAGAUAUCAGGAGGAACACCGGUGGUGUAAACGGCUUUCUGGACCAUAACUGACGCUGAGGCACGAAAGCGUGGGUAGCAAACAGG
rnacentral:rRNA from 1 species